rnacentral:rRNA from 1 species
GACGAACGCUGGCGGCGUGCUUAACACAUGCAAGUGGAGCGACGAACCAGGGCUUGCCCUGGGGCAGAGCCGCGAACGGGUGAGUAACACGUGGGUAACGUGCCCCAAUGAUCGGGACAACCCGGGGAAACCCGGGCUAAUACCGAAUGUGCAUCCCUCACACCAGUGAGGGAUGGAAAGGAAGCUUCGGCCUCCGCAUUGGGAUCGGCCCGCGGCCCAUUAGCUUGUUGGUGAGGUAACGGCUCACCAAGGCUGCGAUGGGUAGCUGGUCUGAGAGGACGAUAAGCCACACUGGGACUGAGACACGGCCCAGACUCCUACGGGAGGCAGCAGUGGGGAAUCUUGCGGAAUGCGCGAAAGCGGGACGCAGCAACGCCGCGUGGGGGAAGAAGGCCUUCGGGUUGUAAACCCCUUUCAGGAGGGACGAAGCGUGGGCGGUUAAUAGCCGGCCCACGUGACGGUACCUCCAGAAGAAGCCCCGGCUAACUACGUGCCAGCAGCCGCCGCCGUAA